rnacentral:rRNA from 1 species
UACGUAGGGGGCAAGCGUUGUCCGGAUUUAUUGGGCGUAAAGAGCGUGUAGGCGGUCAGGUAGGUCCGUUGUGAAAACUCGAGGCUCAACCUCGAGACGCCGAUGGAAACCAUCUGACUAGAGUCCGGAAGAGGAGAGUGGAAUUCCUGGUGUAGCGGUGAAAUGCGCAGAUAUCAGGAAGAACACCCGUGGCUAAGGCGGCUCUCUAGUACGGUACUGACGCUGAGGAGCGAAAGCGUGGGGAGCGAACAGG